rnacentral:lncRNA from 1 species
UUUAUGUGGCUCUAAUGCUCAAUACACUCCUAUUCAAGGUACAAAACAUGCACUGAUUUCUUUAUGGACUCUGCAGAAACUGUAGGAUCUCAAAUCAGACCAUUUCUGAAACUGCUACAUGAACCACGUCUAUAAAAUCAGAUCAAGAGACAUUAAAGGUUCAGCGGUUCCAGCAGAGAAGCAGAUCCUACAGGGACCCUGAGCAGGGCUGCAGCUAAGUGCCAAGCCUUUGCCCAAAGGAUAGUGAAGUGU